AUUGAACGCUGGCGGCAUGCCUUACACAUGCAAGUCGAACGGCAGCACGGGAGCAAUCCUGGUGGCGAGUGGCGAACGGGUGAGUAAAGUAUCGGAACGUGCCCAGUCGUGGGGGAUAACGUAGCGAAAGUUACGCUAAUACCGCAUACGAUCUCUGGCUGAAAGUGGGGGAUCGCAAGGCCUCGCGCGAUUGGUGCGGCCGCCAUCAGAUUAGGUAGUUGGGGGGUAAAGGCUCACCAAGCCGACGAUCUGUCGCUGGUCUGGGAGGCCGACCAGCCACACUGGGACUGAGACACGGCCCAGACUCCUACGGGAGGCAGCAGUGGGGAAUUUUGGAAAAUGGGCGCAAGCCUGAUCCAGCCAUGCCGCGUGCAGGAUGAAGGCCUUCGGGUUGUAAACUGCUUUUGUACGGAACGAAAAGGUUUGGCUUAAUACGUUGAACUCAUGACGGUACCGUAAGAAUAAGCACCGGCUAACUACGUGCCAGCAGCCGCCGUAA
rnacentral:rRNA from 1 species